GAUGAACGCUGGCGGCGUGCCUAAUACAUGCAAGUCGAGCGAACGGACGAGAAGCUUGCUUCUCUGAUGUUAGCGGCGGACGGGUGAGUAACACGUGGAUAACCUACCUAUAAGACUGGGAUAACUUCGGGAAACCGGAGCUAAUACCGGAUAAUAUUUUGAACCGCAUGGUUCAAAAGUGAAAGACGGUCUUGCUGUCACUUAUAGAUUGAUCCGCGCUGCAUUAGCUAGUUGGUAAGGUAACGGCUUACCAAGGCAACGAUGCAUAGCCGACCUGAGAGGGUGAUCGGACACACGGGAAAUGAGACACGGUCAAGACUCCUACGGGAGGCAGCAGUAGGGAAUCUUCCGCAAUGGGCGAAAGCCUGACGGAGCAACGCCGCGUGAGUGAUGAAGGUCUUCGGAUCGUAAAACUCUGUUAUUAGGGAAGAACAUAUGUGUAAGUAACUGUGCACAUCUUGACGGUACCUAAUCAGAAAGCCACGGCUAACUACGUG
rnacentral:rRNA from 1 species